CAGGCCUAACACAUGCAAGUCGCACGGGCAGCAAUGUCAGUGGCGGACGGGUGAGUAUCGCGUAGGAACAUGUCCAGAGGUGGGGGACAACCCCGGGAAACUGGGGCUAAUACCGCAUAUGAGCUGAGGCUCAAAGCAGUGAUGCGCCUUUGGAGUGGCCUGCGUCCGAUUAGGUAGUUGGUGGGGUAAAGGCCUACCAAGCCUGCGAUCGGUAGCUGGUCUGAGAGGACGACCAGCCACACUGGGACUGAGACACGGCCCAGACUCCUACGGGAGGCAGCAGUGGGGAAUAUUGGACAAUGGGCGCAAGCCUGAUCCAGCAAUGCCGCGUGGGUGAAGAAGGUCUUCGGAUCGUAAAGCCCUUUCGGCGGGGACGAUGAUGACGGUACCCGCAGAAGAAGCCCCGGCUAACUUCGUGCCAGCAGCCGCGGUAAU
rnacentral:rRNA from 1 species